UUGGGAACGGGGUGUCUUUGGGA
rnacentral:miRNA from 1 species